CUGAGGUCACCUGGCCUGCUCAGCCUGGAGGAGACUGAGAUCUGCAAAGAAGCGCUCUGCAUGGAACACAAAAUCAGAAGUUAAUCAGGAGCUGAAAUCAUUAACUGCAUGUGCAAAGGAUACAGGGCAGCUCCUCAGUGCUCUACUCAUGUGAAAUGGAGCAAUGCUGACUUACCCUGACUGAGGUUAUUUCCAUUCUUAUGUCCUCUUCAUCCCCAGAAGCAAAUAGCAUUUUAGAGAAGAAUAAUAAAAUGUGACAGUGUCUCUGCCAGUGCUCCUGGGUAAUACCCCUCAGCUC